GGUGACAGAGCGAGACUCCGUCUCUUUUUCUUUUUUUUUUUUUUUUUUUUUUUUUUCAAAAAAAAAAAAAAAAAAAAAAAAAAGAAAAAGAGACGGAGUCUCGCUCUGUCACC
rnacentral:pre_miRNA from 1 species